rnacentral:rRNA from 1 species
AACGAACGCUGGCGGCAUGCCUAACACAUGCAAGUCGAACGAGACCUUCGGGUCUAGUGGCGCACGGGUGCGUAACGCGUGGGAACCUGCCCUUAGGUUCGGAAUAACUCCCCGAAAGGGGUGCUAAUACCGGAUAAUGUCUUCGGGCCAAAGAUUUAUCGCCUUUGGAUGGGCCCGCGUUGGAUUAGCUAGUUGGUAGGGUAAAAGCCUACCAAGGCGACGAUCCAUAGCUGGUCUGAGAGGAUGAUCAGCCACACUGGGACUGAGACACGGCCCAGACUCCUACGGGAGGCAGCAGUGGGGAAUAUUGGACAAUGCGCGAAAGCCUGAUCCAGCAAUGCCGCGUGAGUGAUGAAGGCCUUAGGGUUGUAAAGCUCUUUUACCCGGGAUGAUAAUGACAGUACCGGGAGAAUAAGCUCCGGCUAACUCCGUG